AAGCAUCCUUAAUAAACCCCCCAGUUACACUUUAGUGGUCUCUGGGACAAGAAAGGAUGCAACAGCAAUCUUAGAAUUAUCCAAAACUGAGAGCUGUGUGUCUGUAGCUCCUAGUUAUUUCACCUCUAAGACAAAA